UACGUAGGGCGCAAGCGUUGUCCGGAAUUAUUGGGCGUAAAGAGCUCGUAGGCGGUUUGUCACGUCGGCUGUGAAAACCCGAGGCUCAACCUCGGGCCUGCAGUCGAUACGGGCAGACUAGAGUGCUGUAGGGGAGACUGGAAUUCCUGGUGUAGCGGUGAAAUGCGCAGAUAUCAGGAGGAACACCGGUGGCGAAGGCGGGUCUCUGGGCAGUAACUGACGCUGAGGAGCGAAAGCGUGGGGAG
rnacentral:rRNA from 1 species